rnacentral:lncRNA from 1 species
AUCAUAUGUUUAAUUCCAUUAUUAAAUCCCAACAUAUUGAUUUACAAAGUCAUCUGAUCGAUACUAAAAUUACAUUACCUUAAACAACAACUACCUUUAAAGAUAGGUCCGUCCACCUGCACAAAAUAAAUUAGUUGACCUAUCCACCUGCAAAACAGAGUUAAUACCUGGUAGACAAAUAUAGUUGACUUCAUUAAAAUAAACUAAAUCACAUACACAUUAUUAGUCAUCUAAUACUCAAACAAUACCAGAAAAUAUAUUUCGUUCAUUCAAAUUAUUAAUCCUUUC